UGGGUUGUGGCUCAGUGGCAGAGCGCUUGCCUAGCAUGCAUGAGGCACUGGGUUCGAUCUUCAGCACCACAU
rnacentral:tRNA from 1 species